AGUCGAACGGCACAGUCGACCGGGUCUGGUGGCGAGUGGCGAACGGGUGAGGUUGUAUCGGAACGUGCUCAGUAGCAGGAUAACUACGCGAAAGCGUAGCUAAUACUGCACAUUACCCUUCGGGGAAAGCGGGGAAUCUUCGGGCCUCGCAAUUAUUGGAGCGGCUGAUAUCGGAUUAGCUAGCUGGUGGGGUAACGGCCUCAUCAAGGCGACGAUCCAGCUAGCCUGAGAGGACGACCAGCCACACCACCAGAUACUGGCCCAGACUCCUACGGGAGGCAGCAGUGGGGAAUUUUGGACAAUGGGGAAACCCCGAUCCAGCCAUCCCGGCGUGUGCGAUGAAGGCCUCGGGUUGCAAAGCACUUUGCAGAAAGAAACGGUACGGAUAACACCCCGUGCAACUGACGGUACUCAGAAUAAGCACCGGCUAAUCACGCCAGCAGUCAUGGUAAUAUGUAGGGUGCAAGCGUUAUUCGGAAUUACCGGGCGUAAAGCGUGCGCAGGCGGUUCGAAAGAAAGAUGUGAAAUCCCAGAGAGCUAACUUUGGAACUGGUUUUUAACUACCGAGCUAGAGAGUGUGUCAGAGGGAGGAAUUCCGCGUAGCAGGAAUGCGUAGAUACGUGGAGGAACACCGAUGGCGAAGGCAGCCUCUGGGAUAACACUGACGCGCCAUGCACGCAGCGUGGAGCAAUGCGGAUUAGAUACCCUGGUAGUCCAUACGCCCUAAACGAUGUCAACUAGCUGUUGGGGCCUUCGCCUUAGAGUAAGUAGCCAACGCGUGAAGUUGACCGCCUGGGGAGUACGGUCGCAAGAUUAAACCAAAGGAAUUGACGGGGACCCGCACAAGCGGUGGAUGAUGUGGAUUAAUUCGAUGCAACGCGAAAACCUUACCUACCCUUGACAUGUCUGGAAUCCCGAAGAGAUUUGGGAGUGCUCGCAAGAGAACCGGAACACAGGUGCUGCAUGGCUGUCGUCAGCUCGUGUCGUGAGAUGCUGGGUUAUCCCGCAACGAGCGCAACCCUUGUCAUUAGUUGCUACGAAAGGGCACUCUAAUGAGACUGCCGGUGACAAACCGGAGGAAGGUGAUGACGUCGUCCCAUGGCCCUUGCGGGUAGGGCUUCACACGUCAUACAAUGGUCGGGACAGAGUGGUCGCCAACCCGCGAGGGGGAGCCAAUCCCAGAAACCCGAUCGUAGGUCCGGAUCGCAGUCUGCAACUCGACUGCGUGAAGCUCAAUCAAGCAGUAAUCGCGGAUCAGCAUACAAUGUGUGUGAAUACGUUCCCGGGUCUUGUACACACCGCCCGUCACACCAUGGGAGUGGGUUUUACCAGAAGUAGUUAGCCUUAACCGUAAGGAGGGCGAUUACCACGGUAGAUCUGGCGACUGGGGUGAAGUCGUAACAGUAG
rnacentral:rRNA from 1 species